rnacentral:ncRNA from 1 species
UUAAGUAGAGGUUGCGUGUUGCAAGAGUAGCUCGGAAGAUAUUUCAGGAAAUAGAUGAUUCAGAGUUGAAAGGGUAAUACGCCGAAAGCGGAUUCUUCCUGUUGGAAUUUUGCUUGGGCAUAGGGUUAAGAGUCCUAUGACUGUCAUCUUAUCAGAUGGGGAGCUACG